rnacentral:lncRNA from 1 species
GAUUGUGCCUGAUGUUCAUAUGAUGAAAUCAUAAUCUUUCAGUCAGUUUAAUUGAAUUCUGGAGCUGGCAUGUCAGUUAACUGCUAGUAGUCUGUUGUUAUUUAUGUAUUAUUGUCAUUUUGUUUAUUUUCUUUGGUUACAUCUUCUGACAUCAGACUCGGACUUCUCUUGAACUGAAUUUUAAUGUGCGUAUUGUUAUGCGUUUACUUUUCUACAUUGGUUAGAGGUAUAGGGGGAGGGUUGAGAUCUCACAAACAUGUUUAACCCCGCCGCAUUUUUGCGCCUGUCCCAAGUCAGGAGCCUCUGGCCUUUGUUAGUCUUGUAUUAUUUCAAUUUUAGUUUCUUGUGUACAAUUUGGAAAUUAGUAUGGCGUUCAUUAUCACUGGACUAGUAUAUAUUUGUUUAGGGGCCAGCUGAAGGACGCCUCCGGGUGCGGGAAUUUCUCGCUACAUUGAAGACCUGUUGGUGACCUUCUGCUGUUGUUUUUUGUUUUUUAUUUGGUCGGGUUGUUGUCUCUUUGACACAUUCCCCAUUUCCAUUCUCAAUUUUA